UUGACCCUGCGCAGUUCGAUUUGUUGCGGUGUAUAUGAUCCUACUAAUCAAAUUUAGGGAGCCCGCCGUCUGACGCCGGAACGCAGACCUCCCGCCCCGCCUUUGCGCGGUGCGCGGAAGAAGGGAGUGCGAAAGCGCCAGCAGGGCACCCACCUGCUCAUACAGUAGGUUUUGAUUUGCCGCAGACGGCUGUUGCGGGGUUUUU
rnacentral:other from 1 species